CUACGGGUUGCAGCAGUGGGGAAUAUUGCACAAUGGGCGCAAGCCUGAUGCAGCCAUGCCGCGUGUAUGAAGAAGGCCUUCGGGUUGUAAAGUACUUUCAGCGGGGAGGAAGGGAGUAAAGUUAAUACCUUUGCUCAUUGACGUUACCCGCAGAAGAAGCACCGGCUAACUCCGUGCCAGCAGCCGCGGUAAUACGGAGGGUGCAAGCGUUAAUCGGAAGUACUGGGCGUAAAGCGCACGCAGGCGGUUUGUUAAGUCAGAUGUGAAAUCCCCGGGCUCAACCUGGGAACUGCAUCUGAUACUGGCAAGCUUGAGUCUCGUAGAGGGGGGUAGAAGUCCAGGUGUAGCGGUGAAAUGCGUAGAGAUCUGGAGGAAUACCGGUGGCGAAGGCGGCCCCCUGGACGAAGACUGACGCUCAGGUGCGAAAGCGUGGGGAGCAAACAGGAUUAGAUACCCGCGUAGUC
rnacentral:rRNA from 1 species